CGGAGAGUUUGAUCCUGGCUCAGAACGAACGCUGGCGGCAGGCCUGAUACAUGCAAGUCGUGCGAUUAAGCCUCCCUUCGGGGAGGGUAUAAAGCGGCGAACGGGUGAGUAACGGGUGGAUAAUCUGCCUCUCGGAGGGGGAUAACGGCUGGAAACGGCCGCUAAUACCGCGUACGGUUGCCGAGGUCCAGGCCUCGGCAAAGAAAGGGGCCCUUAAAGCCCCGCCGAGGGAUGAGUCCGCCUCCCAUUAGCUUGUUGGUGGGGUAACGGCCCACCAAGGCGACGAUGGGUAGCCGAGCUGAGAGGUCGAUCGGUCACACUGGAACUGAGACACGGUCCAGACGCCUACGGGUGGCAGCAGUACGGAAUAUUGGACAAUGGGCGCAAGCCUGAUCCAGCCAUGCCGCGUGGAUGAUGAAGGCCUUCGGGUCGUAAAGUCCUUUUCUGAGGGAAGAACAUCCGGGGGAGGAAAUGCCCUCGGGCUGACGGUACCUCAGGAAUAAGCAACGGCCAACUCCGUGCCAGCAGCCGCGGUAAUACGGAGGUUGCAAG
rnacentral:rRNA from 1 species